rnacentral:rRNA from 1 species
ACGGGUGAGUAACGCGUGGGAACGUACCUCUUGGUUCGGAACAACACAGGGAAACUUGUGCUAAUACCGGAUAAGCCCUUACGGGGAAAGAUUUAUCGCCGAGAGAUUGGCCCGCGUCUGAUUAGCUAGUUGGUGGGGUAAAGGCCUACCAAGGCGACGAUCAGUAGCUGGUCUGAGAGGAUGAUCAGCCACAUUGGGACUGAGACACGGCCCAAACUCCUACGGGAGGCAGCAGUGGGGAAUAUUGGACAAUGGGCGCAAGCCUGAUCCAGCCAUGCCGCGUGAGUGAUGAAGGCCCUAGGGUUGUAAAGCUCUUUUGUACGGGAAGAUAAUGACGGUACCGUAAGAAUAAGCCCCGGCUAACUUCGUGCCAGCAGCCGCGGUAAUACGAAGGGGGCUAGCGUUGCUCGGAAUCACUGGGCGUAAAGGGUGCGUAGGCGGGUUUUUAAGUCAGAGGUGAAAUCCUGGAGCUCAACUCCAGAACUGCCUUUGAUACUGAAAGUCUUGAGUAUGGGAGAGGUGAGUGGAACUGCGAGUGUAGAGGUGAAAUUCGUAGA